UGAUGAGGAUGAACUCAUGGGAGGUAAGUUCAGAUUUCAUCUAAAGCGUCAAUCUUGUACUUAGUUUUUGGGUAUGUUACAAAUUUUUGUUGUAACUUCCCCUGUCUAUUUGAUGUUCAUGAGAAGCCAGAGUAAAUUGCUCUUUCUAUAAAAUGUAUUAAUUUCUUAAUCAUGUCAUUGGUAUAAAAAAAAAUGCAAUGCUAUCAAUUCAACAGCAUUUAACAGUUUCUUUUCCCAGUUUUUUCACUUUUCUUCCAUGGUGUCAAUUGAAAAUAGACAUCAAUGCAUGAAUUCAGAGAAAAAUGUUUCAUGCACUUGUAUACAUCAUAUUAUUGUUUUGCAAUGCAGAACUGGAUGCAUUGGAGGCAGACAUGGGAAUGGAAACUGAAUCUGAUGGUGUACCUUCUUAUCUCCAACCUGAUAAGGAACCUGAUCUGGAAUCAGAAAUCAACUUGCCCUCGGCACCAAUAGGACAUGCAGCAG
rnacentral:misc_RNA from 1 species